rnacentral:rRNA from 1 species
AACGAACGCUGGCGGCGUGCCUAACACAUGCAAGUCGAACGGGGUAGGGGGGCUUGCUCCUCUAUCUAGUGGCGCACGGGUGAGUAACGCGUAGAUAAUCUGCCUGAUGAUCUGGGAUAACAUUUCGAAAGGGGUGCUAAUACCGGAUAAGCCCACGAUGGCUUUGGUCGUUGCGGGAAAAGGGGGGGACCUUUUGGCCUUCUGUCAUCAGAUGAGUCUGCGUACCAUUAGCUAGUUGGUAGGGUAAAGGCCUACCAAGGCGACGAUGGUUAGGUGGUCUGAGAGGAUGAUCAGCCACACUGGAACUGGGACACGGUCCAGACUCCUACGGGAGGCAGCAGUGGGGAAUUUUGCGCAAUGGGCGAAAGCCUGACGCAGCAACGCCGCGUGAGUGAUGAAGGCUUUCGGGUCGUAAAGCUCUGUCAAGGGGAAAGAAGUGUAUUGUGGCUAAUAUCCAUGAUACUUGACGGUACCCCUAAAGGAAGCACCGGCUAACUCCGUGCCAGCCGCCGCCGUAAAAC